CGGAAUGAGUAGCGAGAGCAAGGUGGGAAUCCUUGCGGCCGAAUAUCCAAGGUUUCCAGAGUAAAGCUGAUCUGCUCUGGGUAAGUCGGGGCCUAAGGAGAGGCAGAGAUGCGUAUCCGAUGGACAGCAGGUUUAAGAUUCCUGCACCCCUUGUUAUCAGAACUGCGGGGACACGGGAAGGGAAGCAGAGCCGGGAAUGGAAAGCCCGGUGCAAGCGAAGUAGUCGCAGGGUUGGAAAAUCCGCCCUGCAUAAGACGAAGGCGUGAUGCGGAGCGAAAUGAAGUAGUGAAGCUGCGGCCCCUUCCUGUCGAGAAAAGCCGCUAUCGUGUAGCAAGGGCCCGUACCGUAAACCGACACAGGUGGAUGAGGAGAGGAUCCUAAGGCCGGCGGGAGAAGUGUUGUUAAGGAACUCGGCAAAAUGACUCCGUAACUUCGGGAGAAGGAGUGCUGCGCAAGCAGCCGCAGAGAAAUGGCCCAAGCAACUGUUUAGCAAAAACACAGGUCUAUGCGAAACCGGAAGGUGAGGUAUAUGGGCUGACGCCUGCCCGGUGCUGGAAGGUUAAGGGGAGAGCUUAGCAUAAGCGAAGGUUUGAACUUAAGCCCCAGUAAACGGCGGCCGUAACGAUAACGGUCCUAAGGUAGCGAAAUUCCUUGUCGGGUAAGUUCCGACCCGCACGAAAGGCGUAAUGAUUUGGGCACUGUCUCAACAACACACCCGGUGAAAUUGAAAUACCAGUGAAGAUGCUGGUUACCCGCGCCAGGACGGAAAGAUCCCAUGGAGCUUUACUCCAGCCUGAUACUGGGAUUCGGUAUUGCAUGUACAGGAUAGGUGGGAGGCUAAGAACUUAUGGCGCCAGCCGUAAGGGAGCCGAUGUUGGGAUACCACCCCUGCAGUACUGGGUUUCUAACCUGCGCCCGUGACCCGGGCGGGGGACAAUGUCAGGCGGGGAGUUUGACUGGGGCGGUCGCCUCCGAAAGGGUAUCGGAGGCGCUCAAAGGUCUCCUCAGGAUGGUUGGAAACCAUCCAGAGAGUGCAAAGGCAGAAGGAGGCUUGACUGCGACACCGACGGGUGGAGCAGGUACGAAAGUAGGACUUAGUGAUCCGGUGGCAUAAAGUGGGAUUGCCAUCGCUCAACGGAUAAAAGCUACCCUGGGAUAACAUGCUUAUCACUCCCAAGAGUUCACAUCGACGGAGUGGUUUGGCACCUGAUGUCGGCUCAUCGCAUCCUGGAGCUGGAGCAGGUUCCAAGGGUUGGGCUGUUCGCCCAUUAAAGCGGUACGCGAGCUGGGUUCAGAGCGUCGUGAGACAGUUCGGUCCCUAUCCGGCGCGGGCGCAGGAUAUCUGAGAGGAGCUGUCCUUAGUACGAGAGGACCGGGAUGGACCGUCCGCUGGUGGACCGGUUGUCAUGCCAAUGGCACGGCCGGGUAGCCAAGACGGGAAGGGAUAAACGCUGAAGGCAUCUAAGCGUGAAGCCCCCCUCAAGAUGAGAUAUCCAUACUCGAAAGAGUGAGAGACCCCUUAGAGACGAUGAGGUAGAUAGGGCAGAGAUGGAAGCACAGCGAUGUGUGGAGUUGACUGUUACUAAUCGGUCGAAAGCUUGACCG
rnacentral:rRNA from 1 species